GGAUGGAUGGGUGGGUGGAUGGAUGGGUGGGUGGGUGGAUGGAGUUGUGUUUUCCCUCCCAGUGAAUGUUGAACUUUUCAUGGCAGUCUAGUUGAUAACAGCACGACUGUAUGUGUUGAACGUGUAAACGACUAUGUGUUGAACGUGUAAAUGACUGUGUUGAACGUGUAAAUGACUAUGUGUUGAACGUGUAAAUGCUUUCAUCAAACAUUAGUCAAGCCAGUUGUUCUACUCUCAACCUUUUGUUUAAAACGGAUUUAAAAUGAGAUAAUAUAAUACAAUGAGUUUAAUAGUAUUUCAAAUACUAGAGGCUUCUAAUAAUGAGGUGUUGCAAGAGGCUUCUAAUAAUGAUGUGAUGCAAGAGGCUUCUAAUAAUGAUGUGAUUCAAGAGGCUUCUAAUAAUGAUGUGAUUCAAGAGGCUUCUAAUAAUGUGUUGCAAGAGGCUUCUAAUAAUGAUGUGUUGCCAGAGGCUUCUAAUAAUGAUGUGAUGCCAGAGGCUUCUAAUAAUGAUGUGAUGCCAGAGGCUUCUAAUAAUGAUGUGUUGCCAGAGGCUUCUAAUAAUGAUGUGAUGCCAGAGGCUUCUAAUAAUGAUGUGUUGCCAGAGGCUUCUAAUAAUGAUGUGUUGCCAGAGGCUUCUAAUAAUGAUGUGUUGCCAGAGGCUUCUAAUAAUGAUGUGUUGCAAGAGGCUUCUAAUAAUGAUGUGAUUCAAGAGGCUUCUAAUAAUGAUGUGAUGCCAGAGGCUUCUAAUAAUGAUAUACAGUGCAUUCGGAAAGUAUUCAGACCCCUUGAUGUUUUCCACAGUUUGUUACGUUACAGCAAUAUUCUAAAAUUGAUUAAUCUACACACAGUACCCCAUAAUGACAAAGCAAAUGUUAUUUGUGACAUUUUUACAAAUGUAUUAAAAAUAAAAAAUGG
rnacentral:lncRNA from 1 species